ACAGCAGCCGCCACGGGAAUACAGAGGGUGCGAGCGUUAAUCGGAUUUACUGGGCGUAAAGCGUGCGUAGGCGGCUUUUUAAGUCGGAUGUGAAAUCCCUGAGCUUAACUUAGGAAUUGCAUUCGAUACUGGGAAGCUAGAGUAUGGGAGAGGAUGGUAGAAUUCCAGGUGUAGCGGUGAAAUGCGUAGAGAUCUGGAGGAAUACCGAUGGCGAAGGCAGCAAUCUGGCCUAAUACUGACGCUGAGGUACGAAAGCAUGGGGAGCAAACAGGAUUAGAUACCCGCGUAGUCCCUGUCUCUUAUAC
rnacentral:rRNA from 1 species